CCCCCACUGGUGAAGCAGGUCUCCAGAUACGUCUCUAGCAUUCUCCAUCCUGAGCUACAUGGAAACCACGAAAAGGACUGUGUUUCUGCCUGCUGGUUGAGGAGAGCCCAAGCAAGAAACCAGGGAGAGAAAAAGGGGCGCUGCAAAUCCACAACCAUUGUCUGGCAGACAAAGAUCUCAGUCCGCUGCAAUCAUUUUUAUCAUCAGGUAAGCCAGACGGCAUGUGUUUUUCAAAUUGUAUUCACGAGUGCUAUCUUUUACUGGCCAAGUAAGUGAUAACAUUAUUUACUCUGGGAUUGAAUUAUCAAUAUAUAUAUGUAUAUAUAAAACAAUAUUUAACAAUGAUUUUUUUUUAAAAAAAAAAGCUUGUUAGAUCAUUUUUGUAGAGAUGAAUUGGUUCCCAAAGACUUGAUUUAAAAAAAAAAAAAAGAAAGAUCUGGAGUUGGGGGGUAGAGUACUGGGUGAAGCGUGUGGGGCGCGUAUCGCAAAGUGCAAAGACCAGUGUAAGACCAAAUACAGAAA